rnacentral:rRNA from 1 species
UACAGAGGCCUCAAGCGUUAGGCGGAAUCACUGGGCUUAAAGCGUGUGUAGGCGGGUCGUUAAGUACCUUGUGAAGUCCCACGGCUUAACUGUGGAACGGCUUGGUAUACUGGCGAUCUUGAGCCACUUAGGGGCUACCGGAACAGAUGGUGGAGCGGUGAAAUGCGUAGAUAUCAUCUGGAACGCCAAUGGUGAAAACAGGUAGCUGGGAGUGUGCUGACGCUGAGACACGAAAGCCAGGGGAGCGAACGGG